ensembl:processed_transcript D930015M05Rik RIKEN cDNA D930015M05 gene
AGAAGCACACGCAAGGCCUGCCUGAGUGCUUCCCUCAGUUAGACUUUUCACCCGAGAGUCUAGAUUUUCUCCUUGACAUUCCGGUUAUGUGUGUCCCAGCAUAGGGCAGCUGACUAGCACUACAAAGUGGUUCACAGAUGUGAGGGUUAAUCCUGGCUGUCAUCUUGAUUAGAUUUGGGAGCAUAGGGCCUUGUCUCCGAGUGGGUCUGUGAGGAUAGGAGCCUCCCCAGGGCAGUGCCUUCUAGCAGUAGCCCAGAUAUGGAUUCCAAGAGAAGAGUGGGACUGCUUCUGCCUGACUGUCUGCGCUCCUUGUUGCUAAGUGCAUCUACGCUGCUGCUGCUGCUACUGCCAUUCUUCACGGACAUCAGAACUAAGCUUCUCUGAUGUAUGCACAUUGAAGACCAGAGGCUCUCCAGGAAUCCUUCUGUCCUUCAGCACCAGCCUUGCAGAUUGUGAAGUUCCUUGGUUCUUAGUCUCUCCACUGUGUAGAUGGCCACUGUUGGACUCACUCUCCCUCUGACCACCUGCCUAGGCCCUGCUGUCUGACUCUGCUGGCGCUGCACUGACCCCAGGAUCUGCCGAGGCCCUGCUGUCUGACUCUGCUGGCGCUGCGCUGACUCCAAGUACUGCUGCCUUUGGAUUCUGGGUGCUCCCCCUGUCUGUCUCCAAUCCACAGGUAUCUCUGGCACUCAUGUGCUGCACCUGCUAGCUGCUAUUCAUUCUAGGAAACAGGAAGGCCACGUCCCCCACAGGAAGCAGCGGCCUGUGUGGUGUGCUGUAGGGCACUCACCCAGCUCCUCCAGGGAAGGCACGCCAUAGGUGUCGUCAUGGUUCUCCUGGAUCUCAGCUCUGCAGCUCUCCAUCUGCUGGCUGCUCACAGCCACCGCGGGCUUCUUGGGCAGCUCCAUGCGGCUGAUGAGGGCCUGAAAGCGCUUGUAGAUGCAGGUCUCUGGAGGCUGUGGGAGCUCACCGAGGCCCGACGGUUCACUGCCAUGCUCGGCAGCAGCCUACCAGCUACAACUCCUGGAAUCCCAUUCUCAGUACCUGCACUCCCACAGGACUUGAGAUGUUGCCCAAGCAUCUGAGCUGCCUCAGUCGUUUUCUGCUUCAUUCUCUCGAAAGUGCCGCUACAAAAGGGUGACCCACAAAAAUCAAAAAACCAUAAAACCAAGCAUACUGGAGUUCAAUCU